GGAGGUGGCCUCACCCCUGCCUCUCCCCUCCAGCCGUUCUCAUUCCCUCUGAAAGCCCAGGAGCAGCAUUACUGAGCUCUGUGGGGUUUAGAGCAGGGUAGGAUUUUUUGCUAUUUAAGAACAGACCUUAAAUGAGGAAAUGCAGUGCAGUCCAUGGAUAGUGCACUGGCCUGGGAGCCAGGAGACCUAGGCUCUGUUCCCAGCUCUGCCCCUGAUGAGCAUGUGGAAGUAAUGCUUUCUACCAUCUCCAAUGGGCUAACAGACUCAUUCCGUCCUGGCGCACAAUGAUCUGACCUCAGCUGUUCUGGCUUUUGUCACCUCUCAGCUGGGCUACAAUAAUGUGAUGUAGCUGGGCAUGAAGCCUUCAGCUCCCAGGAAACUCCAACUAGUAUAGAAGAUUGCAGUGCAUCACCUCAGCAACACAGGCAACUGUGAGCCCGUCAGAACUGUCCCCUGCUCUCUACCCCGGCUUCUCAGAGAAUAUCAAGUUGAAGGUCUCAGAACUUAUCUUCAAAGUGUUCCAUGGCCUGUGUCCAGGAUAUCUAAAAGACAAUCUAAAGUUACAGGAUGAAGACCACGGUUGAUAACUUUGCUUCUCUGGCACAAUGGAAUUUCUACCACAAGGGUAUUGAAAUGGCACCCGUAUCUCUCACCUGGAGUGACUGCAAAUUAAUUCUUGGCACCAGAUGACGUCAGUGUAGCAGUGAAGUUCCAGUUUGAUUCCAAGACAGCACAAAAUGUAGGAACUGCACAUUGUGAAGCACCGCAUCUGGGUCCGAGAAACAAGCACUGACUGGUGGGAUCGCAUCGUAAUGCAGGAUUGGGAUGAUGAAUCAUGGCUGCAGGACUUUCGGAUGCACAAGGCCACAUUCCUGGAUCUGUGUGCAGAACUCGCCCCAGCCCUCCAGCAUUAGAACACCAAAGCGAGAGCUGUGCUGACAGUGGAGAAGUGAGUGGUGAUUGCACUGUGGAAACUUCAGUAGCAAUCCGCUGUCGCGUCAGUGGGAAAUCAUUCUGGACUUGGGAAAUGCUCUGUGGGGGCCGUUGUCAUAUAAGUGUGCAUAUUGUGAAACAUCUGAUUGCAGCGGGCAAAAGGUGCUGGGAGGGAGAGGGAGAAGUUGAUCGUCAAGGCUGCUGGCAGAUGGGAGGCACCUGGCUUACGGUGGGUUCUCAGCAUCCACUAAUUUUUUUCCAUGGGUGCUCCAGCCCUGAAGCACCCACAGAGUCAGUGCCUAUGGUGGAGCAAUAGAUGGCAUUCGUAUCCCUAUUUUGGCACCAGGCCACCUUGCCACAAAGUACAUGCAAGCACUGGUGGAUCACGGGAGAUGCUUCACUAACAUCAGCGUUGGCUGGUCGGGGAAAGUGCAUGACACUCACAUCUUUAAGAACACAGGACUGGUCAGAAAGUGACAAGCAGGGAGUUUCUUUCCCAACUAAUGGAUUACCAUUGGUGAUGUUGAUAUCCCAGUAGUGAUCCUGGGGGAUCCAGCUGAUCCCUUGCUCUCCUGGUUCAUGAAACUGUACAUCAACCACCUUGACAGC